UACAGAGGGGGCAAGCGUUGUUCGGAAUUACUGGGCGUAAAGGGCGCGUAGGCGGCCUGCUAAGUCGAACGUGAAAUCCCUGGGCUCAACCCAGGAACUGCGUCCGAUACUGGUUGGCUUGAAUCCGGGAGAGGGACGUGGAAUUCCAGGUGUAGCGGUGAAAUGCGUAGAUAUCUGGAGGAACACCGGUGGCGAAGGCGACGUCCUGGACAAUUGCUGACGCUCAGGCACGAAAGCGUGGGGAGCAAAAGGG
rnacentral:rRNA from 1 species